AAUCCCGUGUGAAUCUGCCAGGACCACCUGGUAAGCCUGAAUACUCCCUGUUGACCGAUAGUGAAUCAGUACCGUGAGGGAAUGGUGAAAAGUACCCCGGGAGGGGAGUGAAAUAGUACCUGAAACCAUGUGCCUACAAACCGUUGGAGCCUCCUUGUUGGGGUGACAGCGUGCCUUUUGAAGAAUGAGCCUGCGAGUUAGUGAUACGUGGCGAGGUUAACCCGUGUGGGGAAGCCGUAGCGAAAGCGAGUCUGAAUAGGGCGAUUGAGUCGCGUGUCCUAGACCCGAAGCGGAGUGAUCUACCCAUGGCCAGGUUGAAGCGCGUGUAAGAGCGCGUGGAGGACCGAACCCACUUCAGUUGAAAAUGGAGGGGAUGAGCUGUGGGUAGGGGUGAAAGGCCAAUCAAACUCCGUGAUAGCUGGUUCUCCCCGAAAUGCAUUUAGGUGCAGCGUCACGUGUUUCUUCCCGGAGGUAGAGCUACUGGAUGGACGAUGGGCCCUACAAGGUUACUGACUUCAGCCAAACUCCGAAUGCCGGGAAGUGAGAGCGUGGCAGUGAGACUGUGGGGGAUAAGCUUCAUAGUCGAGAGGGAAACAGCCCAGACCACCGGUUAAGGCCCCUAAGCGUGUGCUAAGUGGGAAAGGAUGUGGAGUUGCUGAGACAACCAGGAGGUUGGCUUAGAAGCAGCCACCCUUGAAAGAGUGCGUAAUAGCUCACUGGUCAAGUGAUUCCGCGCCGACAAUGUAGCGGGGCUCAAGUACACCGCCGAAACCGUGGCAUUCAGUUUUGCUGGAUGGGUAGGGGAGCGUCGUUCACGAGGUGAAGCCAGCGGGUAACUUCUGGUGGAUUGUGGACGAGUGAGAAUGCAGGCAUGAGUAGCGAAAGACGGGUGAGAAACCCGUCCGCCGGAUGACUAAGGGUUCCAGGGUCAAGCUAAUCUGCCCUGGGUAAGUCGGGACCUAAGGCGAGGCCGACAGGCGUAGUCGAUGGACAACGGGUUGAUAUUCCCGUACCGGCGAAGAACCGCCCAUGCUGAAUCCAAUGAUGCUAAGUGCCCGAAGUCUGCUGCACCUUCCUUUGGUUGGUGUUGUCAGAUGGAGCGCACGACCCGAGUUGGUAGUAGGCAAGCGUAUUAACAGGAGUGACGCAGGAAGGUAGCCUCCGCGUGGCGAUGGUAGACCACGUCCAAGGAUGUAGGGCGAUGUGUAGGCAAAUCCGCACAUCAUCAAGCCUGAGAUCUGACAGUGACCGCAUCAGCGGGAAGAGGGUGAUCCUAUGCUGCCGAGAAAAGCUUCGACGCGAGGUUCCAGCCGCCCGUACCCUAAACCGACUCAGGUGGUCAGGUAGAGAAUACUAAGGCGAUCGAGUGAAUUGUGGUUAAGGAACUCGGCAAAAUGCCCCCGUAACUUCGGGAGAAGGGGGGCCUCAAGCGUGAACACCCUUGCGGUGGGAGCGUGGAGGGCCGCAGAGACCAGGGAGAAGCGACUGUUUACUAAAAACACAGGUCCGUGCGAAGAAGUAAUUCGAUGUAUACGGACUGACGCCUGCCCGGUGCUGGAACGUUAAGGGGACGGGUUAGUCGUAAGGCGAAGCUCAGAACUUAAGCGCCAGUAAACGGCGGUGGUAACUAUAACCAUCCUAAGGUAGCGAAAUUCCUUGUCGGGUAAGUUCCGACCUGCA
rnacentral:rRNA from 1 species